rnacentral:lncRNA from 1 species
GUUGAAUGAAGUUGCUGAUUCAUCAUUGACACAUCAGCAUUUAGACUUGGUCAUAGUUUGUUAUUUUGUUAUUCCUAUUUCUUAGCAUUUCAAGUUAGUAGAGUAUCGUAUCUUGCUAGUGGCUAGGAUUUCUGAUUUUCUGUUGAAGAGUAUCUUUCCGUUGCUAUGUUUCUGUUAUUCAGAGGCCUAUAAAUACCUCUACAUAUCAGUCAAUAAAGUAUCCACCUUUGAGUCCAUCUUUAUCAUAUUGCUUUCUU